CACGUAGGGUGCGAGCGUUGUCCGGAAUUAUUGGGCGUAAAGAGCUCGUAGGCGGUGUGUCGCGUCGGCCGUGAAAACCUGCAGCUUAACUGUGGGCUUGCGGUCGAUACGGGCAUCACUGGAGUUCGGCAGGGGAGACUGGAAUUCCUGGUGUAGCGGUGAAAAUGCGCAGAUAUCAGGAGGGAACACCGGUGGCGAAGGCGGGUCUCUGGGCCGAUACUG
rnacentral:rRNA from 1 species